GGUAGCAAAGGGAAUAAUUAGGGCACCAAUAUAGAUGAAUUGAGAUGAAUGAUAAAAAUCUCCAUUCCUAUUGGUCAAAAAACAUGACCAAAGGGCUUUGAGGAGGCUGCCCGAAGCCAUAUUAGAGAUUAGGGUUAGUUUUUCGGGGCCAUUCGAACUUUGAAGGCUAGGAUCAUCAAGUUUAGGAUUUUGGCUAUGGUUUUGGUGCAAGUUUUGUAUGGUUUGGAGUUUAUAUGAAGGAGAUACAAGUACUCAAAGUUAAGGUGUUGAUAUGGAAGCUACUGUCACUCUUUUUUGCAUAACGCACGCAUACGGAUAGCAAUUGAGGAUCGGUGACUGCAAUUAGAGAGAGCGUUUUUGCGGCUACACUUUUUAUAUACUGCUUACUGGAUUCUAAGUUGAAGUGAAGGAGUUAUUGGAUUUUAAACUUAGCACAUGCAAUCUAAGGGUAGUAAGUGAUCCAAUUUAUUAGUGAUUGUCUCUUGAGCUAUAUCUUGAGCAAUUUGACAAGGUUUUGGCUCAA
rnacentral:lncRNA from 1 species